UACGUAGGGGGCAAGCGUUGUCCGGAAUCAUUAGGCGUAAAGAGCGUGUAGGCGGCCUGGUAAGUCCGCUGUGAAAGUCCAGGGCUCAACCCUGGAAUGCCGGUGGAAACUGUCAGGCUCGAGUCCGGAAGAGGCGAGUGGAAUUCCUGGUGUAGCGGUGAAAUGCGUAGAGUAUCGGGAAGAACACCCGUGGCGAAGGCGGUUCUCUGGGACGGUACUGACGCUGAGACGCGAAAGCGUGGGGAGCGAACAGG
rnacentral:rRNA from 1 species